UACGUAGGGGGCUAGCGUUGUCCGGAUUUAUUGGGCGUAAAGAGCGUGUAGGCGGCCAGAUAGGUCCGUUGUGAAAACUGGAGGCUUAACCUCCAGCUGUCGAUGGAAACCAUCUGGCUAGAGUCCGGAAGAGGAGAGUGGAAUUCCUGGUGUAGCGGUGAAAUGCGCAGAUAUCAGGAAGAACACCAGUGGCGAAGGCGGCGACCUGGACGGACACUGACGCUGAGACGCGAAAGCGUGGGGAGCAAACAGG
rnacentral:rRNA from 1 species